GAUGAACGCUGGCGGCGUGCCUAAUACAUGCAAGUCGAGCGAACAGAUAAGGAGCUUGCUCCUUUGAAGUUAGCGGCGGACGGGUGAGUAACACGUGGGUAACCUACCUAUAAGACUGGGAUAACUUCGGGAAACCGGAGCUAAUACCGGAUAACAUUUAGAACCGCAUGGUUCUAAAGUGAAAGAUGGUUUUGCUAUCACUUAUAGAUGGACCCGCGCCGUAUUAGCUAGUUGGUAAGGUAACGGCUUACCAAGGCGACGAUACGUAGCCGACCUGAGAGGGUGAUCGGCCACACUGGAACUGAGACACGGUCCAGACUCCUACGGGAGGCAGCAGUAGGGAAUCUUCCGCAAUGGGCGAAAGCCUGACGGAGCAACGCCGCGUGAGUGAUGAAGGGUUUCGGCUCGUAAAACUCUGUUAUUAGGGAAGAACAAAUGUGUAAGUAACUGUGCACAUCUGGACGGUACCUAAUCAGAAAGCCACGGCUAACUACGU
rnacentral:rRNA from 1 species